GAUGAACGCUGGCGGCGUGCCUAAUACAUGCAAGUCGAACGCACAGCGAAAGGUGCUUGCACCUUUCAAGUGAGUGGCGAACGGGUGAGUAACACGUGGACAACCUGCCUCAAGGCUGGGGAUAACAUUUGGAAACAGAUGCUAAUACCGAAUAAAACUUAGUGUCGCAUGACACAAAGUUAAAAGGCACUUCGGCGUCACCUAGAGAUGGAUCCGCGGUGCAUUAGUUAGUUGGUGGGGUAAAGGCCUACCAAGACAAUGAUGCAUAGCCGGAUUGAGCGACUGAACGGCCACAUGGGGACUAGGACACGGCCCAAACUACUACGGGAGGCUGCAGUAGGAAAUCUUCCACAAUGGGCGAAAGCCUGAUGGAGCAACGCCGCGUGUGGGAUGAAGGCUUUCGGGUCGUAAAGCACUGUUGUAUGGGAAGAACAGCUAGAAUAGGAAAUGAUUUUAGUUUGACGGUACCAUACCAGAAAGGGACGGCUAAAUACGUGCCAGCAGCCGCCGUAA
rnacentral:rRNA from 1 species